rnacentral:rRNA from 1 species
GAUGAACGCUAGCGGCAGGCUUAACACAUGCAAGUCGAGGGGCAGCGCGGGAUAGCAAUAUCCUGGCGGCGACCGGCGGAAGGGUGCGUAACGCGUGAGCGACAUGCCCGUUGCCCGGGGACAACCGGUGGAAACGCCGACUAAUCCCCGAUGGGAUAUUGUGCCGCAUGGCACGAUAUUGAAAGUUACGGCGGCGACGGAUUGGCCCGCGUCCGAUUAGCUUGUUGGCGGGGUAACGGCCCACCAAGGCUGCGAUCGGUAGGGGUGCUGAGAGGAAGGCCCCCCACAAUGGGACGGAGACACGGCCCAUACUCCUACGGGAGGCAGCAGUGAGGAAUAUUGGUCAAUGGGCGGAAGCCUGAACCAGCCAUGCCGCGUGCGGGAAGGAGGCCCUAUGGGCUGUGAACCGCUUUUGCCUGGGGGCAAUAAGGGCGUCGCGCACGUCCGAUGAGAGUACCAGGCGAAUAAGCAUCGGCUAACUCCGUG